rnacentral:snRNA from 1 species
AGCUUUGCACAGUGGCAGUUAUCAUAGCCAAUGAGAUUUAUCCGAGGCAUGAUUAUUGCUAAUUGAAAAUUUAUCUUUAUAUACAUAGAAAAAUCACUGGAAGAUAUGCUACACAGUUUUAAUAGCAUCUUCUUAUCUCUGGAUAGUGGAAUUUUGGGUGAUUGUUUCCUGU